CAACAACCUACUCCAACCACCCCCAGUCACCUCCGAAGCUCAUCCUCACGCAAAGUUCCUUUUCUUUUUCUAUCUCUCUCCUCGAGAUCCUUCUCUCUUGAAUUCUUGCACUAGAUCGUGAUCCAUUCAUCCAUCUAGUCAAACAACAAAUGUUUUGUGGAGUUGGAAAUUUGAGAAUGGAAGAUAUAGUGAGGAAUUCGAUAGAGAAAGAUCUCGAGGAGAGAGAGAAGGAACUUUGCGGUCGGUGAGGAUGAGCUUCGGCGGUGACUGGGGGUGGUUGGAAUCUUUCUUA
rnacentral:pre_miRNA from 1 species